AAAUUGAAGAGUUUGAUCAUGGCUCAGAUUGAACGCUGGCGGCAGGCUUAACACAUGCAAGUCGAGCGGUAGCACAGAGAGCUUGCUCUCGGGUGACGAGCGGCGGACGGGUGAGUAAUGUCUGGGAAACUGCCUGAUGGAGGGGGAUAACUACUGGAAACGGUAGCUAAUACCGCAUAACGUCGCAAGACCAAAGUGGGGGACCUUCGGGCCUCAUGC
rnacentral:rRNA from 1 species